rnacentral:lncRNA from 1 species
UUUUUUUUAAAAACAGAUAUGUCAAAGCUAUUAACUUUUCGAGCAUUUUAAGGUAAAAUAAAAUGGGGGUCACCAGACUUUUAAAAAAGUUACGAGCUUUUGUUUGACCCCUCUACCCCAUAAGGUCUGAUUUCAAUGCACUCCAUUAAUUACUUAAUUGUGAAUUUUUUAUUGACGGCUUUAAUAAAAUAGUGUUUGUAAUUAUAUCAAUAAACGAUGGCUGAAUAUAAAUGUGGUUAUCGUAUUACUGUUUGUUAUCAAAAAGCGAAAUUUUGAUUAUUUUGGUGAAAUACGGUAAUUUUGUCUGGCGCGAGUUGCUUCCCUCUAAUUUGGCGCCAUUAUCGGACCAGAGGAAUUUCAAGGUCGCCAUUGCCGAGCAGCAUACUACAUUGAUGAAUACGGCCAUGUACAUGCAUAACAGACAUUGUGGCGAAUAUACAACGAUGAAGGUAGAGUUAUUACAUAAGAAAACAUAGAUUUCGAUAUAUAAGGCAGCCAAAUGUUAUCAGUAUCACGAAAAAUACAAACUUGGGGGUUGUCUCAAAAUACCCGCUACUGUUAAAAAUCACUGCGGCUGAAACCUUGCACGGGCUCAAUUUCUGUUCCAUGUUUAGUCGUUAUAGCUGGUAUCUUAUUUAUGUGUUUAUUUUACCCUUUAAAGACAAGUUGUAAACAUGUCUGCCAGUUUUGAAAAAUAUCCGUGUGACAUCUACUAUGAAGCACCACAACUGUCAUGUUUACGCUACCGUUAGUGUCAAUGAAUUAGUCUUUUUAAUCAUCAUUUGUAAUAUCUAAUUUAGUAGCCAAGUUAGGGUCACAUGUAUGUGGGGUACCCCAUAACUUCCCUCGGACAGUUUCUACUCCCAGCCCCAAAUAUAUUUCCCUUCCCUUUUAUCCUAAAAUAUUCUCCUCUUACUUCAAUACUUCCAUCUCCUUGCUCCAAGACAAAAUAAAAAUGACUAAAUAUAUAACCAAGAUACCCCUUUUUCUCUGAUCCCUCAACCCCCUGUCUCCUUACCCCUGUCAACCCCUCAAUUAAGGUCAUCUGACAAGGGGUUUGAUUGACUUGUUUGUUUUCUUAAGAAUAUGAUAUAAAAGACCUAAUUUAUUAAUGAUAAACCCUACAGUAGGAGGAAAUACCUUUAAUCGAACGAUUCUUCUUGAUCAACCACAAUUUGUUUACCAUUAACCCCCUCCCCCCCCAAAAAAAUAAAAAAUUUAAAAAAUCUGUAAGGUACACAAAAAUUUCACAAGGUCUAGUAAUAGUAGUAUCAGGGUUAAACAUGUACAGAGUGUGACCAUAAGUAUUUGUCACUUAGAUUUUUAGCUGUUCAUGUAUAUUGCAUAUAAAACUACAUUUUUCAAAAAAAAAUAUUUUGGAUUGAUUUUAAGCAGAAAUUAGUUAGAUAUACUGUUCCCAAUUUUAAGCAACCUGGUACCAAUAGAAAAUAUUUUAUGUGUUCUCAAGGGAAUACAAAAACACAUGCAAACGAACCCAUUAUCAAAUAAAUACAUAUUAAUUUAGACCAUUCUACUUCUUUUAAGGCCUCGUAGAUAAAAAUCCAACUAUAAAUGCCCUCAAUUUUUUUUUGAAGAAAUGUGUUUUUAUAUGAAAUAUAUAGCAAAAAAAUGCAGGGGACAAAUACUUUUGGCCAGGUACUGUGUAUUUUGAGUUGAAAAAAUCAUUACUGUUUUGUGAAUAGUAUUUUUUUUAAUAAAUACAAAAUUUGUGUAUCCUAUAUUCCAAACAGGGUACAAGAAGCCUCAGCAUGAGGACUGAGCUGCAUUUCAGAAUUGAAGGCAGCCGAACAGCAAGAAGUUUUUAUUCAACCUAUAGAAACAAAAUUUCUAUUUACACUUGUGCAUGUAAUUAUAUUUUGUUUGCUCAUUAUUGAUCACCACAAAUUCUUCAUUAUUUUUACACCAUAGCGGCAGGGGCAUUUAGUUUUACCCUUGCGUUGUCAGUCUUAUCAAACUUGCAUGUACAUGUAUGUCCCAAAUUUGGUUUCUGUUCUCUAACUUCAGUUUGCCUCUACCAAUGUUAUGAAACUUAUACACAAUUAAUGCAUAUAUAUGGUUAUUACCAACAAACACACAUGAAGUUUGAAUUUUUGAUGGGGUUGCUUUUACUUAUCUAGAGUUAUGCCCCUUUACAAAUUAAAAAAAUGCUGAAUUUUUGUUCCUUUCUUUCAUCCAAAUUUUUUGAAACUUAUAUGCAAUGCUUACUACAACAACACUCAGAUCAAGUACAAAUUUGGGUGGUGUUACUCUUUUCAUUCUUUAUAUGCAAGUGGCUGCUCAUCUGUGUCCCAUGGACACAUGACCCAUUAUGAACUAGUCUACAUCUAUAUGCUUUUGAAUGUCAAUAAUUUGUUGAUUUUUUGACAGAAUUACUCUGAUAUUUAAUUUCAGGCUGCAAGUAAAUUUGUACAUGUACAUGCAAAUGGAAGGAGUGAUCUUGGAAUGUUUAACUUUACUGGGAAACUAUUGGCCAAGUACUGACAGAAGUCUGAAUUUCAUGAGAAGCCAGUAUCAUAUUCUAGUCUUGUAACCGGAAACUAUGUGUACAGUGCUGAAACUUAAGAACAACAUUCUACAUGUAUAUGCAAUAUGUGUUGCCACAAUCCAUUUAAGGAGAUAAGAUCAACUAUAAAUUGGAACUACAUGUACAUGUAUAUGCUUUAGUGCUGUCAAAAUCCUUAAAAAAAUCCAAUCAAAAGGACCUACUUCACCUGCCUGUCCCAAUGAUGAAUACAGAUCAUUUAUAUAUAUGGAGUCUUAUAAAAAACACUGAAGGGGAAUAAAAAUAAUGAAAAUAUAUAGCUGAUCAGCUAAUUAUUGUACAUGUACAUGAUGUGUAAAUGGCAACAAUACUAAC